rnacentral:rRNA from 1 species
GAUGAACGCUGGCGGCGUGCCUAAUACAUGCAAGUCGAGCGAACAGACGAGGAACUUGCUCCUCUGACGUUAGCGGCGGACGGGGGAGUAACACGUGGAUAACCUACCUAUAAGACUGGGAUAACUUCGGGAAACCGGAGCUAAUACCGGAUAAUAUAUUGAACCGCAUGGUUCAAUAGUGAAAGACGGUUUUGCUUUCACUUAUAGGUUGAUCCGCGCCGCAUUAGCUAGUUGGUAAGGUAACGGCUUACCAAGGCAACGAUGCGUAGCAGACCUGAGAGGGUGAUCGGCCACACUGGAACUGAGACACGGUCCAGACUCCUACGGGAGGCAGCAGUAGGGAAUCUUCCGCAAUGGGCGAAAGCUUGACGGAGCAACGCCGCGUGAGUGAUGAAGGUCUUCGGAUCGUAAAACUCUGUUAUUAGGGAAGAACAAAUGUGUAAUUAACUAUGCACGUCUUGACGGUACCUAAUCAGAAAGCCACGGCUAACUACGUG